GCAACAAGAACAUCAGUCAGUGCCAAACCUGGUGGUGAACGUGGAGUGAAGAAUGGGGUUUUACAUCACCUCUGAGUGUCCCCACGAAAUGUGCAUGAAUGACAGAGAAGGAAGGAAUUUCCAGUGGAGACCCCUGCAGACGCCACGUUCCCCAGAUGGUCAAGGUCAAUGCCCCCUGGAGUGGACACAUCGAGUCAAGGUCUUAGAAGUCAAGGAAAGACUGAGGACUGUUCCAGGUUGAGGAUGAGCAUGAAGUCUUAUAAUCCCUGUAAUCCCAGCACUUUGGGAGGCCGAGGUGGACAGAUCACUUGAGGUCAGGAGUUCGACACCAGCCUGGCCAACCAACAUGGUGAAACCACGUCUCUACUACAAAUACAAAAAUUAGCCAGAUGUGGUGGCACAUGUCUGUAGUACCAGUUACUCGAGAGGCUGAGGCAGGAGAAUCACUUGAACCUGGGAGGCGGAGCUUGCAGUGAGCUGAGAUCGCACCACUGCACUCCAGCCUGGGCGACAGAGUGAGAUUCCUUCUCAAAAAAAAAAAAAAAGAAAGAAAGAAAAAAGGCAUUAUUGGGACAGUUGGUAAAACCUGAAUAGGUCUCUAGGUGAAGAAUACGUACUCUUUGUACUAUUCUUGCAACUUUUUGGUGUAUUUGAAAUUGUUUUGAAAUAAAAAGUAAAAUUAAAAGCGA